rnacentral:rRNA from 1 species
UACGUAGGGCGCAAGCGUUGUCCGGAAUUAUUGGGCGUAAAGAGCUCGUAGGCGGCCAGUUGCGUCUGCUGUGAAAUCCCGGGGCUCAACCCCGGGCGUGCAGUGGAUACGGGCUGACUAGAGGUAUGCAGGGGAGAACGGAAUUCCUGGUGUAGCGGUGAAAUGCGCAGAUAUCAGGAGGAACACCGGUGGCGAAGGCGGUUCUCUGGGCAUUACCUGACGCUGAGGAGCGAAAGUGUGGGGAGCGAACAGG